UCUGACACAGAGACCAGUAGAGGUGCUCUAGAGAACUCUGUCUGACACAGAGACCAGUAGAGGUGCUCUAGAGAACUCUGUCUGACACAGAGACCAGUAGAGGUGCUCUAGAGAACUCUGUCUGACACAGAGACCAGUAGAGGUGCUCUAGAGAACUCUGUCUGACACAGAGACCAGUAGAGGUGCUCUAGAGAACUCUGUCUGUCUGACACAGAGACCAGU